rnacentral:tRNA from 1 species
AGUUCGCCUGGCUCGAGGAGCACAGGCCCGAGGUGUUCGCCCGGGUGGCCGACCAUGUGCGGCAAGGGCGGUUCGUGCCCGUCGGCGGGAUG